UACGUAGGGACCAAGCGUUGUCCGGAAUUAUUGGGCGUAAAGAGCUCGUAGGCGGCUUGUCACGUCGGGUGUGAAAGCCCGGGGCUUAACCCCGGGUCUGCAGUCGAUACGGGCAGGCUAGAGUUCGGUAGGGGAGAUCGGAAUUCCUGGUGUAGCGGUGAAAUGCGCAGAUAUCAGGAGGAACACCGGUGGCGAAGGCGGAUCUCUGGGCCGAUACUGACGCUGAGGAGCGAAAGCGUGGGGAGCGAACAGG
rnacentral:rRNA from 1 species